UACGUAGGGGGCUAGCGUUGUCCGGAAUCAUUGGGCGUAAAGCGCGUGUAGGCGGUCCGGUAAGUCCGCUGUGAAAGUCGGGGGCUCAACCCUCGAAUGCCUGUGGAUACUGUCGGGCUAGAGUGCGGAAGAGGCGAGUGGAAUUCCUGGUGUAGCGGUGAAAUGCGCAGAUAUCAGGAGGAACACCUAUUGCGAAGGCAGCUCGCUGGGACGUAACUGACGCUGAGACGCGAAAGCGUGGGGAGCAAACAGG
rnacentral:rRNA from 1 species